rnacentral:rRNA from 1 species
CCUACGGGGGGCUGCAGUGGGGAAUAUUGGACAAUGGGGGGAACCCUGAUCCAGCCAUGCCGCGUGUGUGAAGAAGGCCCUCGGGUUGUAAAGCACUUUCAGUGAGGAAGAACGCCUGGUGGUUAAUACCCAUCAGGAAAGACAUCACUCACAGAAGAAGCACCGGCUAACUCCGUGCCAGCAGCCGCGGUAAGACGGAGGGUGUGAGCGUUAAUCGGAAUUACUGGGCGUAAAGCGCGCGUAGGUGGCUUGAUAAGCCGGUUGUGAAAGCCCCGGGCUCAACCUGGGAACGGCAUCCGGAACUGUCAAGCUAGAGUGCAGGAGAGGAAGGUAGAAUUCCCGGUGUAGCGGUGAAAUGCGUAGAGAUCGGGAGGAAUACCAGUGGCGAAGGCGGCCUUCUGGACUGACACUGACACUGAGGUGCGAAAGCGUGGGUAGCAAACAGGAUUAGAUACCCCAGUAGUC